rnacentral:rRNA from 1 species
GAUGAACGCUAGCGGCAGGCCUAACACAUGCAAGUCGAGGGGGAAGUUACUUUCGGGUGACUGAGACCGGCGUACGGGUGCGUAACGCGUAUACAAUCUGCCUUUCACUGGGGGAUAGCCCGAAGAAAUUUGGAUUAAUACCCCAUAGUAUAUAGGGACGGCAUCGUUUUUAUUUUAAAGCUUAGGUGGUGAAAGAUGAGUAUGCGUUCUAUUAGCUAGUUGGAGAGGUAACGGCUCCCCAAGGCGAUGAUAGAUAGGGGUUCUGAGAGGGAUGUCCCCCACACUGGUACUGAGAUACGGACCAGACUCCUACGGGAGGCAGCAGUGAGGAAGAUUGGACAAUGGUCGGAAGACUGAUCCAGCCAUGCCGCGUGCAGGAUGAAGGUCUUAUGGAUUGUAAACUGCUUUUGUAAGGGAAGAAUAAGGGCUACGCGUAGUUUGAUGACGGUACCUUACGAAUAAGCAUCGGCUAACUCCGUG